rnacentral:lncRNA from 1 species
UGGACAGUAGCGCCCCCGAUUUUCGUUCUUGAUCAGCUUUAUCUGCAAGAAAGAGUGCAUCUGGAUUCACUUCUAUGAUCCCUUUUAUAAUUGGAUUAGCUUUCUGGAUUUCACUUAGAUAGAGCUCAACAAGUCGUCUUGAGGUAAGUUUGUUUUGCUUGAAAGCUAUUUGAAUAUCAUCUAUUGUUGUUUCCUUAAAUGAGAAUGUUUUUGCCUCAGUAAUGUUACUGUAGUUGGAUAAUAUCAUGCACUGAGAAAUGAAGGGAGUGGAAAGAACAGACAUUUUUGGUUGUCAAAGUGAUUGAAGAUACUUACGUCAACAUUAGCCACAAAAAAGUGGAUAAGGAAUAAAGAGUCAUGAUAGAGUUGUUUUUGUAUGACUUAUACGUCAUGAGCUGCGGAAACAAUUGUACGAGGGUAGACUACCUACAUACACACUUUUGGGUGUUGCCCUUCUCUAAAUUCUGUUGAUUAUAUAGGUCACGUGUUGAAGCAGGGAAUCAGUCACUAAUGCUUGUGUGAGGGUAGACUACCUACCUUACAUCUCUAAAUUCUGUUGAUACCGAGAUGUUUCAUGCAUCGAGCUGCAUAUUUUUGUAAUAGUGGAGAUGCAUAAUUAGAGCUGACCAUAAAGGUCUACUCCUUCCGAUCCCAAAUAUUAGUUGUUUUGACAAAGUAAAUUUGUUCCAAGAAAAUAAGAAAUUUACUUUCGAUUUUCAUCUUCCAAGUUUACCAUCAACACUUCAAUUCAAUUAUUGGAGUAUUAAUCAAGUGAGACGUUUAAGAGAGACAAAGGUUAGCCUAACAAAUACUUUUAUGAGUAAGGUUAUUAAAUAUAUACUUCUUCAGUCUCAUUUUAUGUGUUUUUUUUUUUAGUUCGUCUUAAAAAGAAUAUCACUUUUUCUUAUUUGGUAAUUAUUUAAUGACAUCAUUGUCAUUUUAUCCUUAGUGGAUCCUACUUAUUAAGAAAAAACAACUAAAAAUUAAACAAUAAAAGAGACAAUUUUGUAAACUUUACAAAAUUAUUACUCCAUCUGUUUCAUAAUAAAUGAAUUGUUGAAUUUUGACACACAGAUUAAGGAAAAAACAUUAAAGACAUAAAUUUAACAUAACUUUUCAUUUUUAUCCCAAAAAAAAGAAAAAGUUGACCUUGUAAUACCUUUUCAAAAAUUAAUUGAUUGUUCAAUGAUUCACUUAUUUUGAAACACUAAUAAAUAGCUCAACAAUUCACGUAAGUAAUUAUUUUUUUAAAUUCCAUGCUCGAUCAAAUAACAACAGAUAAAAUGAGACGAAGAUAGUAUUUUUUAAAUAGCGUGCCAAAAUUGUUAAAUACAGAUAAUAUGAAUCAAUAUUAUAAUAUAUGGAGAGGAUGGCCUGUUGAAAGAUAAGAUGCUUUUAAUGUGAUUUGACAGAUUUAUUUCCAAAAGAUCCAAAAUCCAAAUGCCUUUGUGGGUCCACUAAUCACUAUCAGACUAUUUUUUCUAUAAUACUCUUUCAGGGAAAGCAUAUGUUGCAAAUGACAAAUAAUUCAGAAAUUAUAAUUGUCAUGAUUGGUAAGUCUAUUCUCCUAGUUAAUUGAUCAUUACUACAUGCUAAUCAAUAUAUAUAUAAGUUGAAUGUAGAUCCGGUGAUGUGGCAUUCUUUAGAUUUUCCUUAUCUUCAGCUAUCUCAUUUAAGGAAUCAAUUAGUGCAGAGGCAAGAGAUCUUAGCUUGUUGAGGGAGUAAUCCUUCAUAUUCUCUUUAAUAUCUAAGAGAGAUGAAGGUCUACUUUCAUUUUUGUCUAUGUCUGCCAUCAACACAGGAAGUCCAUCAGAGGCUCGCACCAUUUUUUAUUGCCGUACAGGAAAUGUCUUUCUUUUGUUCAAACUCAUUUGAAUCACUUGAUGAAUCAUUCCACCAAGCUGCAAGCAUCUGACUGGCAAUUUUGUCAGCCUCAGUUUCCAGCUGCACUUCUCGGUGACCUUCUGCUUCCCCUUUUUGGACACCUCUUCAGAUCUAUACAAGUCUUCGAGAAACUUUUUUGCAAUCCGAGCUGUUUCACUAAUUUUUGAGGUGUAAGUAGCUUGUGAAGCCUUCAUUUCUCUGGAUCCUUUUAACGUGUUAGCCUGAUCACGGAAAAUCUGCUCUGAUAUCAAAUGAAAGGAUUGGGGGUGGGUUGGUUCUCGAUUCAGGGAAUUGUUCCCAGAAUCACACACGCAAUAAGAACCAAGAGGAAAAUGCAGUAAGUAAUGCAGGAGUACAAAAGGUAAAGACACUAGGAUUUUUAUAUGCAAACUCCUUGCCUGCCUCCAGGAUUUUUAUAUGCAAACUCAUUGGUUGAGUCAAAAAGAUUGCAACAACUUUUCACCUAACUUUUGUACUAUGUGUCAGCUGAAAAGUUGAUUGUCACAGUGAUAAGUGUGCCCAAUUUGUUCUAUAAUGCGUAGAGGCCUUUGUCGUCACAACAAAAACUUCAAGGAACAUAUUACAAACUAUGAAUUUGUCAAUCAUCAAAACUAAUAACACUUAACCUAUUUAAUUAUUUUUUUAAAAAAUAGAAUUUACAUAUGUGAAAUUUCCAUUUAAAAAUAAAAUUCUGAAAAGUAAAAAAUAUCUCUUUAAUAACCGUUUUAUAAUUCCCUUAAAAUUAUUAUCUCUUCCUCCCCUUUCUCAUCUUUCUUCUUCUUUUCACUUUAUUUCCAUAAUUUUUUUCAUAAAUCACACAUUAUAAUUUAGGACUUGACAAUCAAAAUUGUAUGAAAUGGAAUUACUAUUGUAUUUUAUAUUCACAUUUUAUUUUUGUUUUGUCUUUAAAAAAGAAAAAAAAGGAAAAGCAAUAAAGAGGAACAAAAGAAAGAAAAAAUAAAAUAAACUAAAAUAUCCUGAUAUAACAAGAAACAGUAGGUAGAAACAAACAACAUAUGACUUAUACUAAGGUGUUCUGAUAUAUGUCUUAUUUGUGAUUAUUAUUAAUGAGAAGAGUUAAUGAUCAAAAACACAUCUGAACUAUUGAUAUUUCGCGAGUUUCACAUUGCAAUAACCAGUUGUUCCCUUUUCCGAUCCGAGCUAUCACCAUCGUCCAGGCAGGAAAAGGGAACAACUUACAGUUCAUGAGGUGUAUUUUAAUAUAUAUAGAUGGUGAUAAUUCGGGGUGGAAAAAGAGAACAACCGAUAGUUGGGUGUGAAACUCGCGAAAAUGAUAGUUCAGGUGUAUUUUUGACCAUCAAUAAGCAGAAUGCAUCUGUAAUUGACGACUAGCUAUGAUGCGAAGAUAGAGGCUAAACAUGAAAUUCCUCGGGCAUAACAUUUUCAGUAAAACAAGAAAUUAGGAGAAGUUACUAACUACAUGAGCAUCAGGAAGAUGUGUAAUGUGUUGCAGUUGAGGACAGUGAACAUGAAACAAGAAUCACAUUUCCAUAACAUAACAAUUCUCAAUAGUAUGAAUCUUGCUAGAUAUUAACUAGAGUGGCCAGAAGAUAUAAAAGUUCAUCGAUAUUACUAUAUGAUUAUUUGUCUGUCAACAUUUUGCUCUGGAAUGCUGUACUUGAUAACGAACACAUCAUUUCGGAUGUGCAUACAUUCUAGAUCGAGUCGAAUAUGUAAUUCUUAUCGAGGAUGUGAAGGAGGGGGCUUCCUGAUAUGAGUUGCUUGUUCAAAACCAUAUGCAAUCUCGAUGAGUGUUGGCUCUGAACCCUUCAGUCCUCCAAAGGAAAUUCCAACGGGAACUCCACUUUUAUCAUAACCAGCAGGUACAUUGAUCCCUGGAUAACCUUCGAUCGCGAGAAGACUAGCAAUGUCUGCACCAGGUGACAUCAACGCGUCUAGCUUAUUAACUUUUAUCAUCUUCUCAAACCCGUAUUUGCAUACUUUUGUUAUGUUCCUCAGUGCCUCCCUUUCCAAUUUCCCUAUUCCAUUCGUCUUCUCAGCUGCCAUCAUUAUGCCUUGACCAUAUUCUUUGAACUUUUCCUACAAUAAUAUAUAAGAAGAACCAAUCGCUUAAACUAAGAAGGGGAGCCUUGGAGUAACCGAUAAAGUUGCUACCAUGUGACCAGGAGGUCAUGGGUUCAAGCCUUGGAAACAACCUCUGGCAGAAAUGCAAGGUAAGGUUGCGUACGAUACGCCCUUGUAGUGGGGCCCUUCCCUGGACACCGCGCAUAGCGGUAGCUUUGGUGCACCGGGCUGCCCUUUUUUUUUUCAGUCGCUUAAACUAGAAAUAGCCCGUGGAUGUAUAAUAUAUGUAUGUAUAAUAUGUGAAUAACAGUGUGUAAUUUAUGUUUACCGGAAAAGAACAGUAAACAGUGCAUCCGUCCAGCUACUUUAAACAUCCCUAAAAAGAAUGAAAACAGAUAUAUCUCGAUUCUACUUCUAGUGACAUACAUAAGUUCAGCUAAUUUCAAUUUACAAGUGAAAGCUUUUAGUUCCUGCAAUAAUGUACUACAAACGAAUAUGAACAUACUGUUAACAAAUUAUUUAUGAACAAAGUAGUAAUGGAGUGGCUUUGGCGUGAAUACGACAGAAUGAUUACAUCGAUUCCUAUAACUAAUAUCAACUUUGUCUGAUAUCAAGGUGCAGUUAAUUGAGAUCGACUAGUACUUACCGAAGCUGAAAUCUUGUUAAAGGCUAUGACAUCUGCCAAGGAUCGGACUUGAGUAUGAACUAGCUUCUUAAGAUAUGCAUUUAGGUCCAUCUUGAAUUCAGCAAAAAGUGCUAUGUCUUGAGCAUUAACAAUAGCACUGUAGACCAAGUCGAUGUUAGGUACUUCGACGUUGUCAACUAAUACUACUCCUUUUUGCCUUUCCAGAAAAAAAGCUCAUCUCUAUUAGGAAAUUAAGUAAAACUAAACCAGAGAAAGGCAUAAAACAUAGAUAGACACCUUAACUUUCUGGCAACUGAACACUUUAACUUAGAGCAUGCACAUCAAUUAAUCUCCAUUGUGUUAGUUGAACACUUCAACUAACAAAAUGAUCAUCUAGAAGCCUCCAAAAUUUAUGUGACACAUCAGCAUCGGGAGUCCAUGAAACACAACGAGAACGAGUAGAGGUGUUUAGAUGUGCACUCCCUAAUAUGGAGUGUUUACUUUUCAGUUGAGACUAGUCUUUUAUCUUUGAGAAAUGCAGACGAAAACGGAAAGAUUACCUCAAGGUGUUGAAAUGGUGUUGGCAAGCUUUGAUAUCAUUGGAACCCAAAAGGUCCUUUAAAAUACCUAGUCUUUUAUCUUUGAGCCCAUCAGCCUUAAGAAAUUGCCGGUAUCCACCAUGUGGAAUGUAAGUAGAAGCCUUUUUAGUAGCUGGAAAAUCAUCUCAAUCGAUGCCAACAAUGACAUCAAGAACCUCAACAGCAUGAGAUACUGUCCUGCAGAUUGGUCUGUUCUAUGCAAAAAAACACAUUGUGUGAAGAGAUUUCGAAUGUCUUCUAUGUUCAUGUUUGUUACCAAGUUCGUUGCAUCUCUAACAAACCUACAAUGUCUAAAUUCAGGAUCUAAUAAGUAAUCCUAUUUUGCACCAUCAAUUUUCACUAUUGUUCAAAAAUCUAGCAUUAAACAGUUCUGCAAAGAGAAAAAAGAUCGAAAACUCCAUCCAUUCUAGUUCUAGUUUAUGUGAGCUAUUUUCUAUCAGCUAGUCUGUUCCAAAAUGAAUGACACAUUUCUAUAUCCGGAGUUUUACUCUAAAUUUCUCGUUUUACCCUUAAUAAGAGUUUCAAAAGCCAACACAAAAAAUGACUCUAAUGAAGGUUAAACAUUCUGUGUAGAGGAAGAAAGUCAUAAUAUUGUAGCUGCGCACGGUUAUUUUUGCCGAUUGAUCUUCCAAUAUGCUAAUUUAACGACUCUCGUUCAUUACACUUCUUCCUUGCUGCUUGACAUCUAGCUGAUAGUAGGUUUACCGCUUUAGGUGUCAACACUACAACUUUCAGUCUAAGUAGUUUCAGUUACAACCAAUCUAUAGUUGAUAUUCAAAGAUCGAGUAAUUAAUACAUGAACUUCCCCUUCUUUCUUAAAGUAUGCACCAAGUCAAACUAUGUUACAUACAUUGUGACGAGAGUACUACUAGAGGAGAAAAACAUUCAGAAGAUCUAAAGUCUGAACUUUUACGUACCCAACAGUGUCUUGCAAUUGUGAAAUUGGGAUAACACCUGCCCUGUUAGUGAGGUCAACAGUUGGUUUGACUCCAACAACUGAAUUAGCAUUGGCUGGAUAUAGAAUGGAUCCUGCUGUUUCUGUCCCCAAUGCUAGUGCUGCAAGGUUUGCUGCUACUGAUGUUGCAGAACCAGUGCUUGAACCUGAUGGAUCAGCACUUGCUACAUAAGGAUUCUGUAACAACAUGAUGAGUAAAAAACACCAGGUUAUUAAACUCUUUUUAGUCAAAUUAUCAAAAAAGGCAGCCACGAGGGGGUGUGCAUAGACAGUCUGCCCUGACGUAAGCCUAGUGGUUGAUUCCCCAGCUCAAACAUGUGACCUAUAAGUCACACAGAAACAACUUUACCAUUGCUCAAACUUAAAGUAGUAUAUAGUGUUUAAUACUAUUAUAGGCUUCUUCAAAUCUUUGUUUGUCUUUCAUUUUUAUAUUUUGCAUCUUAACUAAUAUCAUAGAGGCGGUAUCAUCAUUUUUUUUCACUAAUUUUCUCAAUCUAUAAGUUUAACGACUUGAGUUAUGACCUGUUUUGGGACUUGAAUUACUUCUUCAUUACUCUUACAUGCUUGACUUAGUUAAGCUGUAUUUAGGGGAAUCAUUUUUUCUCAAUCAAUAAAGAACGAGACUUUACCAAACAAGCACCGAUAUUGAUGAUAGUGACCUUGAUACGGAGCUGGAACUGCAGAGAGACUCUUCCUAUCUUAUUAGUCAAGCGCUAAUUUACUGACAAUCACAUGUUAUAAUUCACUAGUGGUAUAAAAUUCCUUAUACCGUCCGUCAGCAUAUAUAACUUAAAAUUUUUUUACCAAUGACUCACCAGAGCUUGACCAAGUCUGCCAUUCCAACCACUAGGGAUAUUCUCAGUUCUAAAAGCAGCCCAUUCAGUCAUAGUUGCCUUGCCAAGUAUGAUAGCACUAGCAUUCCUCAACUUCUUGAUCACACCAGCAUCUUGUGGCACAAUGGACCCAACAAGUGCUAGUGAUCCUGCUGUUGUGUUAAGUUUAUCUUUUGUUGCAAUGUUGUCCUUGACAAGAACUGGUAUACCAUGUAGCCUGCUGGACAGUGGUACCCCCGAUUUUCGUUCUUGAUCAGCUUUAUCUGCAAGAAAAAGUGCAUCUGGAUUCACUUCUAUGAUCCCUUUAAGAAUUGGAUUAGCUUUCUGGAUUUCACUUAGAUAGAACUCAACAAGUUGUGUUGAGGUAAGUCUGUUUUGCUUGAAAGCUAUGUGAAUAUCAUCUAUACUUGUUUCCUUAAAUGAGAAUGUUUUCGCCUCAGAUUUGUUCCUGAAGUUGGAUAAUAUCAUGCACAGAGAACUGAAGAGAAUGGAAAAAAGAGACAUUUUUUGUUGUCAAAGUGGUUGAAGCUAUCUACUUCAAUAUUAGUCACAUAAAAAUGGAUAGGGAAUAAAGAGUCUUGGAGAAAUGAUAAAGAGUUGUUUGUUUAUGACUUAUAGAUCACGUGUUCGAGCGGUGGAAUCAUUCAGUAAUGCUUGUGUGAGGGUAGACUACCUACAUUACACACUUUGGGGUGCGGCCCUUCUUUAACAAGAAAGCAAAAAAGAACUGAAUUCAUGUCCUCAACCAAAGAUCAACAGGCAGAAUACAUCUUUAUUUGACAACUAACUAUCACACCAUGAUAGAGGCUAAACAAGAAAUUCUUUAGGCAUAACAGUCAGUAAAAUAAGACACUGUGAGAGGUUACAAACUACAUGAGCAUCAACACAGCGAGCAGAUAGAAGUAUCACAUCUCAAUUGGACUACUAUUGUUUUUGUCGGAUUAAGAGAAAGAUGGAUAACAUAAUAAUUCUCGAAGGUAUGACUCUUGCUAGAUAUUAACUAGAAUGACUCGAAGAUAUAAAAGUUCAUCAACGUUAUUUUAUGAUUUUUUUUUUCCUUUUGUCAACAUUUUGCUCUGGAACGUUGUACUUGAUAAUUAACAAAUCAUUUCAGAUGUGCAUACAUUCUAGAUUGAAUCGGAUAUGUAAUCCCAAUGAGGAUGUGAAGGAGGGGGCUUUCUGAUACGAGUUGCUUGUUCAAAGCCAUAUGCAAUCUCAAUGAGUGUUGGCUCAGAUCCCUUUAGUCCUCCGAAGGAAGUUCCGAAUGGAACUCCACUUUUAUCAUAACCAGCAGGUACAUUGAUCCCUGGAUAACCUCCUAUCGCGAGAAGAUGAGCAAUGUCAGCACCAGGUGACAUCAAUGCGUCUAACGCCUUUUCCUUCAUCAUCUUCUCGAACCCGUAUUUACAUGCUUUUGUUAUGUUGCUCAGUGCCUCCCUUUCCAAUUUCCCUAUUCCAUUCGUCUUCUCAGCUGCCUCCAUUAUGUCUUGACCAUAUUCUUCGACUUUUUCCUACAAUGAUAUAUAAAAGGAAAGAAGAAAAAUCAACUUAGAUGGCCGCACAUCCAACCUCUUAAACUAAAUAUUGUUUGCGGAUGUAUAAUAUGUGUAUAAUCCACAUAUAACAUGUGUAUAACCGUGUAUAAUCUGUAUAUCGGCGAGGAACGAUAAGCAGUGAAUCCAGCCAACUAUUUAUGUAAAGUUCCCUAAAAAGAAUGAAAAACAGAUAUACUUCGAUUCUACUUCUACAGACAUGUAGUUCAGCUAAUUUCAAUUAACAAGUGAAAGCUUUUAAUUCCUGCAAUAAUGUACUGCAAACCAAUAUGAACAUAUUGUUAAAAAUUAUUUAUGAACAAAGUAGUACUGGAAUGACUUCAGCCCAAAUAUGACAGGAAUGGUUACAACAUUGUAUAACUGAUCUCAACUUAAUUUUCUAAUAUCGAGGUGCAGUUAAUUGAUUGACUAAUACUUACCGAAGCUGAAACCUUGUUGAAGGCAAUAACAUCUGCCAAGGAUCGGACUCGAGUGUAGACUAACUUUUUAAGAUAUGCAUUUAGGUUCAUCUUGGAUUCAGCAGAAAGUGCUAUGCGUUGAGCAACAACAAGAGCAUCUUGGACCAAGUCGAUGUUAGGUAUUUCCAGGUUGUCAACUAAUACUGCUCCUUUUUGCCUUCAAAUAUUUCCAAGAAAAAAAGAUGCAUCUCUUAUAGGAUUAACAUAAUAAAUCAAAAUCAAACAUGAUAUUUGGACACAAAAUAAUUACCAUUGACAACAAUCACGCACCAGAGGUUAUGAGAUAACUCUGACAAUGUGCUUGUAUAAGGCAUAAUACAUAAGCAUACACUCAAACUUGGUCUCAACUGGCAAGUAGGCACUCAAGCUUUGAGAGUGCACAUCUAGACACCGGAACUUGGUCUCAACUGGGAACUAAACACUCCAACUUGUCCCCACUGUGUUUCGUGGACACUAGACACUGACGUGACACAUAAAUUUUGGAGUUGUCUAUCAUUUUGUAAGUUAAAGUGUUCAGAAGUGACACAUAAAUUUUGGAGGUGUCUAUCAUUUUGAAAGUUAGAGUGUUUAAUUGACGCAAUGAAGAAACUAGUUGAGGUGUCUGGAUGUGCAUAUUAAAAGUUGGAGUGUUUAGUUGCCACUUGAGGUCAAGUUAAAGUGUCGAUCUAUGUACUAUGCCUUUAUAUAAGGUCUAGAGAGAGAACCUAGCUGAAACUAGUGAAAUCGUGAGGGCCCUCCCAUACGCCUAUCAAGUUGAGCCUACACUCACCGCCGGCUAUACAGGACCGGCCAAGCACAUAAAGUGCACGGUCUAAUAAUGAGUAAAACUAAACUAUAGAAAUAUAAGUACAAGUGAAAAGGAUUACCUAAAGGUGUUAAAAUGCUGUUGGUACGUCUUGAUAUCAUUGGAACCAAAAAGGUCCUUUGAAAUACCUAGUCUUUUAUCUUUGAGCCCAUCAGCCUUAAGAAAUUGCCGGUAUCCACCAUGUGGAAUGUAAGUGGAAGCCUUUUUAGUUGCUGGAAAAUCAUCUCGAUCGAAGCCAACAAUGGCAUCAAGAACCUCAACAGCAUCAGAUACUGUCCUGCAGAUUGGCCUGUUCUACGACAAAAAAGCAUUGUAUGAAAACAUUUUCGAUGUCUUCCAUGAUCAUGUUUGUUACCAAGUACUUGCAUUUUUGCUACUCUAAUGCAGCCUACAACGUCUAAAUUGUGGAUCUAAUACUAAAAACAAGUAGUCCUAUUUUGCAUCAUCAAAUUUUUCGCAGCUGUUCAAAACUCUGGCAUUAUAUAGUUCCACAAAGAGAAAAAAGAAUACUCCAUCCAUCCAAAAAGAAUGACACGUUUCCAUAUCUGAAAUUUUACUCUAAAUUUCUCGUUUAACCCUUAAUAAAAUGUUUCUAUAGCCACAUCAAUUCUAUAACAACCACAAUUUUCAACUUUCAAAAGCCAACACAAAAAAUGAGUCUUUUAGCGAAGUUAGCAUAUUUUGUCAAGAGGAAGAAACUUAUUACAUUGUAGCCGCUCAUGGUUAUUUUUGCUGAUUGGUCUUCCAAUGUGCUAGUUUCAAUGACUCUCUUUCGUUACAUUUCUUCCUUGCUGCUUGGCAUAUAGUGUCAAAUUUGUGCCGAAUGUCUCUCAAUGUUGAGAGUCUUGCCAUUAAAUAGAAAGUAUUCAAAGAUUACAUCCCAAAAAAUCCGCCUUUCCUGUCGCUACUAUCCCUUUGAAUCCGCUAUUGUAUCCCUUAUAAUCUGCUAUUCUAUAUCUUUGAUUACUACAUCAUAUCUCUAUAAUUACGAAUAUACUACAAUAUAUAAUUACAUUAAUAUAUACAAUAUUCACUAUUAAUUCAUGAUCUUUGAGUUGUCCAUCAUGCUAACAUAUAGUAGGUAUCUGGUUUACCGCCAGUGGCGGAGCCACAGCCAACGAAGGAUGGUCAGAUGAACACCCUUCGUCGAAAUUUUUUCUGACCAUCCUUCGUCGGAAUUUUUUUUCGAGUAUAUAGGUUAAAUAUAAUAUAGAAAUGUUGUUGCACGCCCUUGACAAGCUAGAGAAGCAUAGUCUAUGUGAAGAAAUGGACCUUGGGCCUAACUCAAUCUCAAAAGCUAGCUCAAGAGGUGAGGAUUACCCAAGUCCAUAUAAGCAAACCACUAGUCCAUUCCCCAACCAAUGUGGGACUUUUACCCACUCUAACAUUCUAGUGGUUAAGAGUGUGCAUUUCCGCAUCAACAACCCGGGUUUAAAUCUUGACAGGUGCAGCAGUGCUUUAUUUUCUUUGUUUUUUAAACAGUUCUUUGCCCAAGGAAAAAUAUAAACACCCUUAACCAAAAGUCUGGCUCCGCCACUGUUUACGGCUUUCGAUAUCAACACUAUGGUUUUCAAUCUAAAUAGUUUUAAUUUCAACCAAUCUACAGUUGAUAAUCAAGGGCUUUCCUUUCUUUCUUAAAAUACAUGCCAAAUCAAACUUUCUUAAAAUACAUGCCAAAUCAAACUAUGUCACAUAAAUUGUGACGAUUAAUUUUUACUUACCCAACAGUGUCUUGCCUAUGUGAAAUUGGGAUAACACCUGCCCUGCUAGUGAGGCCAACAGUUGGUUUGAUUCCAACAACUGAAUUAGCAUUGGCUGGAUAUAGAAUGGAUCCUGCUGUUUCUGUCCCCAAUGCUAGUGCUGCAAGGUUUGCUGCUACUGAUGUUGCAGAACCAGUGCUUGACCCUGAUGGAUCAGCACUUGCUACAUAAGGAUUCUGUAAUAACAUGAGUAAAAACACCAAAUACAUUUUUAGUCAAAUUGUUCUUAAAAAAAAAGGCAAUCUGGUGCACGAAACAUUCUGCAUUCAGGCAAAAUCCGUCAAUGCCAGCAACAUCCCAAGAGGGUACAAUGUAGGUAAUCUACCCCGACACAAGCAACGGCUCGCAAAUGUGAGGUCACACGAAGGUAGCUUUACCUUUGCUCCAACUUAAAGUAGUAUAUACACUAAAUUUGUUUGUGGCACGGUGUUUAAGAAAGUAAAGAAGAUUCUCCAAUCUUGUGAUCUCAAAUAAGGGGAAAGGACAUAAAUGUCACCUCGCCUAAAAUAUUUCCACUGAUAUAGGCAUUGAUUUGGCAAUUCCAAUAGAUAGCCAUUUAGGCUUUUCUGUCGCUGCGACUAUCCUUCUUUUUUUUUUUUUUUUCCUUAUUUAUUGUUUAAUUUUUAAUGUCAAUUAUUUUAUAGGUUACAUUCUCUUCCUUCCUAUUUUUUUUGUUUGUUUUUCACUAUUUUUUUUCUUCUCUCUUUUAAUGUUGUUAAUUUUUUUUUUUGAGAAAAGUCCACUCUGUCCACCUAUUUAUUUUUGUAGAUGCGAUCACGAAAAUAAAAAUAUGAAAUACAAGUCCACCCAUAAUGUUCUAUCUCUUUUCAUACGAGUUAACACUAUAGCGGCACUUUGAUUUUUUUUCUUUCUGCUCUCUCUCUUUUUAAUUAAAAAAAUUAUGGAAUGUUUGGAUAGUAAGGGUACAAGGUUUAAUAAAUUUUGUAUAUGCUUGCACAAAUUUUCACAAAAUUUUAGGUGAAGUUAAAAAAUUCACGAAUAACGAAUUACUAUAGAUGCUUGCACAAAUUUUCUCUGUAAAAGGUGUAUUUAUGUAGUAUAUAUACUGUAUCAACGUGGUAUAAAAGUGUAUCAAUCUAGUAUAAAAGUAUAUCAAUGCGGUAUCAAAGUGUAUCAAUAUGUAUAAAAGAGUAUCAAUUGGUAUAUGGACUGCAUGUACUUGCAUAAAUUUUUUUUUUUUAAAAGUGUCUCAACAUAAUAUAAAAGUGUAUCAAUGUGGUAUAAAAGUGUAUCAAUUGAGUAUAGAGACUGCAUGUUCCCAAUUGGGCCAAAUGGCUAAAAAGAGGAAUUAAAUUGGGCCGACUGGCUAAGGUUGUCCACCUUUUCAAUUAUGGGCCAUUUUUUUUUAAAAAAGUCAGCUCAUGUCCUUUUCCCCUCAAAUAAUAUACCAAAAUGUCCUUUAAUCUCAUGAUCAUAAACAUGUCAUGAAAAAGUUGAAAUUAAAGAUUUAUAAAAAAAGGAGAUCUUAUUGAAACAGACCAAAAAGAAAAGUAAUACAAACAAACUAAAACAGAGGGAGUAGUUUUUUUCCAGAUCAUAUACUACUUUAAAUCUUUGUUUCUCUUUCAUCCCUGUCUUUUGCAUCUUAACUAAUCACAAAGGUUGCAAAAUAAAUCUAUUUUUACUAACUAAACGACUUAAGUUAUGACUAUUUUUUGACUUGACCCAACCCGCACAUUUAUCACCCAUGGCGAAUCAAACUAUAUAUAUUAUUAAAUAUGACUCACCAGAGCUUGGCCAAGUCUUCCAUUCCAACCAUUAGGCAUCGUUGAAGAUCUAGAAGCAGCCCACUCAGUCAUAGUUACCUUGCCAAGUAUGAUAGCACCAGCAUUCCUCAACUUCUUGACCACACCAGCAUCUAGUGGCACAAUGGAUCCAACAAGUGCUAAUGAUCCUGCUGUUGUGUUAAGCUUAUCUUUUGUUGCAAUGUUGUCUUUGACAAGAACUGGUAUACCAUGUAGCCUGCUGGACAGUAGCGCCCCCGAUUUUCGUUCUUGAUCAGCUUUAUCUGCAAGAAAGAAUGCAUCUGGGUUCACUUCUAAGAUCCCUUUAAGAAUUGGAUUAGCUUUCUGGAUUUCACUUAGAUAGAACUCAACAAGUUGUCUUGAGGUAAGUUUGUUUUGCUUGAAAGCUAUUUGAAUAUCAUCUAUAGUUGUUUCCUUAAAUGAGAAUGUUUUUGCCUCACUGAUGUUACUGAAGUUGGAUAAUAUCAUGCACAGAGAAAUGAAGAGAAUGGAAAGAAGAGACAUUUUUUGUUUU